rnacentral:rRNA from 1 species
AAUCAACGCUGGCGGCGUGCCUCAGACAUGCAAGUCGAACGAUUAAACUUUCCUUCGGGAAAGAUAUAAAGUGGCGCACGGGUGAGUAACACGUAGGUAAUGUACCUUUGGGUGGGGAAUAACCAUCGGAAACGAUGGCUAAUACCGCAUAAUGCAGCGGCAUCGCAAGAUGACAGUUGUUAAAGAUUUAUCGCCUAAAGAGCAGCCUGCGGCAGAUUAGGUAGNGGUAAGGUAAUGGCUUACCAAGCCUGCGAUCUGUAACCGACCUGAGAGGGUGGUCGGUCACACUGACACUGAAUAACGGGUCAGACUCCUACGGGAGGCAGCAGUCGGGAAUUUUGGGCAAUGGGCGAAAGCCUGACCCAGCAACGCCGCGUGAAGGACGAAGUCUUUCGGGA